rnacentral:rRNA from 1 species
UACGGGGGGGGCAAGCGUUGUUCGGAAUUACUGGGCGUAAAGGGCCCGUAGGUGGCCAACUAAGUCAGACGUGAAAUCCCUCGGCUUAACCGGGGAACUGCGUCUGAUACUGGAUGGCUUGAGUUCGGGAGAGGGAUGCGGAAUUCCAGGUGUAGCGGUGAAAUGCGUAGAUAUCUGGAGGAACACCGGUGGCGAAGGCGGCAUCCCUGGACCGGACACUGACGCUGAGGAGCGAAAGCCAGGGGGAGCAAAACGGGG